rnacentral:lncRNA from 1 species
AUGUGGAAUUUUGGUGUUCUGUUAGUUGGUAUCAGUGUGGUGGUGGUUAGUGCGGGUAUGGAUAUUCUUCCUUCUUCCUCCAUAGUGACGUCAUCACCAAACAUAAGACCCUCCAAUGAAACAGCGACUCCCGUGUCUAAGGACGCAAAUGAAAGGCAAAUCGAAGACACCUCUGCGACGGAUUUUGUAGAUGAGAUGCUCAACCUUUUCGUUCAGUUUGUCAGCAAUGAUAAAGAUGCAAGUUCGAGCGGUCAAGAAGAGUCUAAGCUGGUUAACAAUGCAUCCGAAGGCAGAGGAGUUGGCCGGCUGAAGAAAUUCCUACUACCAUUCCUGUUGGGUGUCUCGAUGAAGACAAAAGCUGUGAUCAUAGCGGCCAUCGGGUUCCUGAUGGUUCUCACGAAAAUCACGUUCAUCAAGAGCAAGAUAGCGCUCGUGAUCGGAGUGGGUCUGCUCCUGUACCACCUCUACGUGAAGAAACACGCCAUCCACCACAUCAAACACGCCCUCCACCACCCGGUGCCGUACGACGUGUCGCCCGCCUGGUCAGCGCCCCUCGCCGCUUGGGCCAUCCCCGAUUGGGGCGCUGCAGCCGCCCUCCCCGCCGCCGGCCACCUCGCCGCCGCCCCCUACGUACCCCACAUCCUCCGCAAAACUUCCCACGAGCAACCGACCCGAUUCCGCAGAUGAUCAUCCCUCAUGUUCCCGAUUUAGCUUAGGUAAUUUAUUUCUUAGUAAUUAGUCGAUUCUGUAAAAUACACCAUCAUUCCUAUCAAAGAAUUUUAUUCCACAAAGUCAUUUCACCCUACCUCAUUGGCACUGACUAUAAAAUGGAUUGCAAUUUGCAAAAAGGAACCACUAGCAUUGCAAUGAUGCUAAGAUUGUGCAACUUCAUCCUUUGCAAUAAAAUUGCGGAAAUCGUGAAAGACUAUGAAAUUUAGAUGGUAUUUUUUGUCUUAAAUUUACAGUUUUUAGCGAGUAAAAUAGAAACUAUUAAUGGAUAAUCGGGUUUUUCCUCCAAGACAAAAGAAGUUGCACAAUCUUAGCAACAUUGCAAUGCUAGUGGUUCCUUUUUGCAAAAUGCAAUCCAAAUAAUGUUAGACUCAGAAAGAAAGAAAAAAUCAAAUUGAUAAAAUGUAGCAUGUUACCGAAACCCAUUUUUCAAUUAAAAUUCACCGAAAAUACACUUUUGAAAAAAAAAUGGAAAAAUUGGCAUGGCAAUUUCGUGAAGUUCUAAAAAACAUUCAUAUUUGGUGUUUACCAUUAGCUAAGCACGGAAUAAACUACAAAAUAUGUAACAUAAUGAAACUAAAAAUUUAAAAUUGUUGGUAAAUUUACUAAAAUGGAGUGAUAUUUAUAUACUUGUAAAAGUUCAGGGUGGCCUUUUUACGCACAGGUGAACAAAACGGGUUUCCGAACUCGGAUAUUCUAACAGUUUUUUUAGUUUUCUCCUUGAAAUUUACGAGUUUGCUAGACUAUUUUUUUAAUGGUCAACGCUAAAAAGGAAGUUAAAUGUUGUAUAAUUCGGUCUGGUUUACACGGGAAUGAGAAUUGAAAAAGUUUCUUAUCAAAAUGUUCUAAGUAUAAAUUAUGGACCUGAACCUUAGUAAAAUGCACCCCUCCUUGCCGUAUACGCGUGUUCUAAUGCUAAUUUUUAAGGAGUUUUCUUUUUAAAAAUUAAUAUACAAGGUUUAUGACUGAGCAAGUUUGAGCAAAUAUUUUCCUUGGAAAAUUUAUUCUACAUCAUUUUUGAAAGAACUAUCAAAUUAUUCUAAAAUGUAUGUACUUUCUGCGGCUUAAAACAAAAAAAAUUAUGAAUUACAUGAAAAUUUGCAUACAGUGUGAUCGUGCAUUUAACAUGGAGGUGGUCCGAUUUCGUACUGUUUGACUAUUAUGUAAACUCGAGUAUAAGGUAAAGAGGCAAUUCUCAGAGACUUUAGUGGAUGACAAUGUAACUAUUCGCUCAGAAACAAUUGAAAAUUCGACCACCUUCUUCCUUUUCCCUGUUUCUCCGAAACAUUCUCCGACAGCAGGUCUAUGAACAAUAGACGGAGUAAACCAGGAAACAAAUGGGCCACAUUGAGUUUGGAUGUGUACGUCUUUUCUAUCAGGCAUCAAAAACCUUCCUAUAAGUUAAAGAAACACAAUUAAUAUUGAGUCGAUAAUUUUUACAUCAUGGCAUAAAAUUACUGGUUUGAAUCAUAUGAUUCACUAUUUAACAAUGCUAUUCUCAUUUCAACCCGAAUGCCAUGUAUGAUUAAAAAAGAUCGUUCCCUAAAGUUUAAUACGCUGUAGCCCCUUUAGUCGAUGAUUUCAACUAUUACCAAGAAAAAAACUAAAUCACCAAGUGUCAUUUUCGUUCGCCACGUCAGAGGUUGCAUUCCCGUUGUUUAUUCAAUUUUAAAAAUCCCAAUUUGAAAAUGUUUAGGUGAUCAAGCUGGAAAUGAGAUGAAACGAUUUUAAAGUUUCCUGAACACUUGGACUGAUCUCAUUUUGCAAUUUGGACACUGAGACUCAUGAGAUUACACUCAUGCCGAGACUCACAUCGAUGGCCAAUGUACAAAACCACGUAUUUCCGCUUGCGACGUUACAGGUUUCCUGACAUACUCUAUUGUUCCUUUGGAAAAGUAAUUGACACAAGUAGUUUUAUAUAAAAGUUACUGUUACUUUCCUUCUCUGUUAGCAAAUUAACUAGUGAAAAUUUCAGGAUAUAAACUUGGUUUGUUUUUCUUCGGAAAAAUAACAUAUUUUAUUUAGAAGCGGACAUUUUGAAACACCGCAAUGGACAUACGGGGGUUUCACACUUUGGCCAUAGAUUUCCCAUAACGAAUAUGGUUUAUUUUUAAUUUGAAUGUGUCCAAGUGAGAAGGAGUUCGUUUGAAAUUCGCGCAUGAAACCAACCGUUCCGUUCACAUAAAACAAAACCCUCUGGUGGUCAUGAACGAACUUUCAUUCAACAGAGAGGCGGAUCCAGCAAUUUGGCAACACCGGAUGGAUUUCCUCCAUUCAUCCCUGUGUUGAAUAAUCGAUUCUUGUCAAAGUACCUGGCCCCUACAAGAAUCGAUACCUACAUUUUCCUAAGUUUAAAUGAAGAAAAAGCAAUGUUACCGAUUUGCUGGAACCGCCAGUGAAUCAACAAGACAAGAAAAGUUGCGAUGGAAGAACCAGAGUCCCUGUUUCAAUUCACUUUAUCUUCUCCAAAAAUUUUUACUGUGUAGAUAGCAUUCGCGGUAUAGGCGAAAGUUAAUAUUGAAAAUAGCGCAUAAGCUGCUUAUAGCGAAGUAAACUCAAGCACUAAGUAUAGUUAAACUUAUUAUUAGCAUCAUAAGGUGAACGAGGUCUAUCAGAACACUGCUCAAACAGUUCGGCUCUAGUGAAAGAAUUAUUUUUAGCGAGUAUGUAACUGGCCCAACUGACGUCCUACUAUACGCAGAUACGCAGAAGAUUUCCAUGACAUUCGACUGAGAUGGUGCAGGAAUGUUUUUGUUUGAUCAAAGCCGUAUUGGUUUGCGCCCUUUGGUCCGGUGCCGCGGUGCGAUGCUGGUCCUAGGCUGUCAUCGUCACCUUGCGACGAAUUCAAGGUAAAACGGCGUCUACAGGUGGACGCUGGACAGACGGGGAAAGUAAAACGUAUCCGAUAAUAAAGACAAUAACGAGGCGUAAUUAUGGUACCGACAGUCGUCACGAGCUGACGAGAUAUCACUGAUAUCAUCCGGAAUGUACGGGGAACAUUGAAUGAUGCGCCGUUGCCA